GAUGAACGCUAGCGGCAGGCCUAACACAUGCAAGUCGAGGGGUAGCAGGAUUAAGCUUGCUUAAUUGCUGACGACCGGCGCACGGGUGCGUAACGCGUAUGCAACCUACCUUAUACUGGGGUAUAGCCCGGAGAAAUUCGGAUUAAUCCCCCAUAGUACUAAUGAAUCGCAUGGUUUAUUAGUUAAAGCAUUGCGGUAUAAGAUGGGCAUGCGUCCUAUUAGCUAGAUGGUGAGGUAACGGCUCACCAUGGCUACGAUAGGUAGGGGACCUGAGAGGGUGGUCCCCCACACUGGUACUGAGACACGGACCAGACUCCUACGGGAGGCAGCAGUGAGGAAUAUUGGUCAAUGGGCGCAAGCCUGAACCAGCCAUGCCGCGUGCAGGAAGAAUGCCCUAUGGGUUGUAAACUGCUUUUAUUUGGGAAUAAACCUUUUUACGUGUAGAGAGCUGAAGGUACCAAAUGAAUAAGCACCGGCUAACUCCGUGCCAGCAGCCGCAGUAA
rnacentral:rRNA from 1 species